rnacentral:rRNA from 1 species
AUUGAACGCUGGCGGCAGGCCUAACACAUGCAAGUCGAGCGGAUGAAGGGAGCUUGCUCCUGGAUUCAGCGGCGGACGGGUGAGUAAUGCCUAGGAAUCUGCCUGGUAGUGGGGGAUAACGUCCGGAAACGGGCGCUAAUACCGCAUACGUCCUGAGGGAGAAAGUGGGGGAUCUUCGGACCUCACGCUAUCAGAUGAGCCUAGGUCGGAUUAGCUAGUUGGUGGGGUAAAGGCCUACCAAGGCGACGAUCCGUAACUGGUCUGAGAGGAUGAUCAGUCACACUGGAACUGAGACGCGGUCCAGACUCCUACGGGAGGCAGCAGUGGGGAAUAUUGGACAAUGGGCGAAAGCCUGAUCCAGCCAUGCCGCGUGUGUGAAGAAGGUCUUCGGAUUGUAAAGCACUUUAAGUUGGGAGGAAGGGCAGUAAGUUAAUACCUUGCUGUUUUGACGUUACCAACAGAAUAAGCACCGGCUAACUUCGUA